AAUUUUAUGUAAAAAUUCUGAUCUGAAUCAGUUGUAAAUGCCGUAUCAUCAUUGUUUCAAAUACGCAUUAUACCGUUAUAUAAAGUUGUACAAUUAUGUUGCGGGUAAGUAAUCUUCAUCAUUGUUUCGUACAAGAUAAAAGAAGUUACAUUAUGCCGUCAUAUUUCCCGCUGUUAAGAUAUGGAAGUUAUCGAACCGUUAAAGGUGGUACUAGCUAGGUAGAUAUACGUAUACGAUCUUUACCUAUAGAGAACCUCUAAUAUCUACGCGUGUACAAGUGCGUGCUAUUCUCUGUGGCGCACGUCUGCCCUUUGCUGCGACAAGUCCGCUUGUACUAUAAAUUGCCAAUGGAAACUCAUGUAAAUACUUUAUACACAGAGUUCAGCCAAUUAUCUAUUACCACCUUUUAAAUUAUCCAGGACAAGUUUGUCUAACACGAAUUUUAUCGUACAAAAGGGAUUCGUACACACGUUGAUAUCAAUUUUCUUUCCAGAUGGAGUUGUUCUCGAAAUUAAAGGUCACCUUUGUUUUUCUAAAUAGAAUAACUAUGCUUUUAGAUUUACUUUCUAAUAGAGGUUGCCUCGGAUGAAUACAUACAAUGGUGUAUGACGUAGAUUUGGUCGAAAUGAAAACAAGGAAAAUCAUUUGUCGACGGCACAAUUAUAAUUAAAAAUAUGUCGUAGAAAAAUAUGAUAAUAUUAGCCAUGAAUAAAUAAAAUAAUUGUGUAGGAUGCAUUCGUUUAUAGAACAAGUUGGCAUGCUUUUCAUUUGGAAGAACACGCGGGUCCAGAAGUUAUGUGAAAAUAUAUAUCUUCGUAACUCAUUUUAAUACAAAAAAUUAAGAUACCAGCAAAAGGAAUUUUGAUUAAAAAUUAAUUAAUUUUUUUUUUUUCAGAUUUCUGAAGUGUCGAGGAGCGACAGCUCUCGUUAGCCCCCUCCCUGAAUCCGUCACUGUGCUGAACUAACAUCUUUACCGUUCUCAACCUUUACGCUGGAUGAAUUAAAAGAAUAGCUAAGGCAAAAUUAGAAGCUAAACUCUUGAAAAAAAGGUAGCCGUGUCAAAUUUCAUGUAAACCAGAUGUUAGUCGCAAAAGUGUACUUCGCGUUCAUUAUCGUAUCGUUCACAGCUUCUACCGAGAAUUAAGUGGCACAGAUUUGAUAAAUUGGGUUGAACUUUAUGGAGAUGGAUUCCGUAUCGGAUUUCGAAUAAUGACUUGUUUUUUUUACAUGUGCUAUUAAUUAGCGGUAUAACAGAGAUAAAUCAUGGGGGAUAUUGAUAUGUAUUUUUGUUGAAUUGAAACGCAAUAUUGGCUCUACCAGACAUUACAUCGAUAACAAUAGCCGAUACUUUUAUGGGCUAUCGGCAGAGCCGUCCCUAGCACCGGGAAAACUGGGCACUUGCUCUGGGCCCUGUGCUUACAUUUAUAAUUUUCUACAAAAUAAUCAAAUUCAGUAUCAGUAGUCAAUAAUCUUUUAAAUAGAUGAUAAACUAAUACCAAUGCGUCACUUCAUUCAUAGCAUACUUAAAAAUGGAUAAUACAUACUUAAUCCUUCUAUUGAAACAAUACCAAUGAUAUGAUACAAUAGUGUUCAAGAUUAAUGUUGAGUCAAAAAAUGUAACAUUACAUUUGUUUCUUAUACCAGAUAAGAUUAUGUACUUUUUAUUUCACGCAUAAGAAACAAUUAAAAUCCACUGUAUUGUUAACAAUUGUAAAGCAUGUAAGAGAAACAGAACCAGGACAUAAAUCUAAUAGGUUAUGUCCAUUUGCUUCGAUGACUUAACAAUAAAAGAACACACAAGGUGAAA